UACGGGGGGGGCAAGCGUUGUUCGGAAUUACUGGGCGUAAAGGGCUCGUAGGUGGCCAACUAAGUCAGACGUGAAAUCCCUCGGCUUAACCGGGGAACUGCGUCUGAUACUGGAUGGCUUGAGUUUGGGAGAGGGAUGCGGAAUUCCAGGUGUAGCGGUGAAAUGCGUAGAUAUCUGGAGGAACACCGGUGGCGAAGGCGGCAUCCUGGAUCAACACUGACGCUGAGGAGCGAAAGCCAGGGGAGCAAACGGG
rnacentral:rRNA from 1 species